rnacentral:rRNA from 1 species
GACGAACGCUGGCGGCGUGCUUAACACAUGCGAGUCGAACGGAAAGGCCCUGCUUUUGUGGGGUGCUCGAGUGGCGAACGGGUGAGUAACACGUGAGUAACCUGCCCUUGACUUUGGGAUAACUUCAGGAAACUGGGGCUAAUACCGGAUAGGAGCUCCUGCUGCAUGGUGGGGGUUGGAAAGUUUCGGCGGUUGGGGAUGGACUCGCGGCUUAUCAGCUUGUUGGUGGGGUAGUGGCUUACCAAGGCUUUGACGGGUAGCCGGCCUGGGAGGGUGACCGGCCGGAGAGAGAGGGGAGGACGGGCGAGAGGCGGAGGGGGGGAGGGGGGGAGGAGGAUGGCACGCGGGGCGGAAGGCGGGGGAAGGAGCGGAGCGGGGGGGGAGCGGGCGGGGGGGUGGACCACCGGCGGCGGGGGGGAGGAGGGGGGUGGGGGGGAAAGGGGUAAAGAAGCAGCGGCUAACUGCGUGCCAGCAGCCGGGUAUAAAGGGAAGAGCACGCGCUGGACC